UACGUAGGGUGCAAGCGUUGUCCGGAAUUAUUGGGCGUAAAGAGCUCGUAGGCGGUCUGUCGCGUCUGCUGUGAAAACUCAGGGCUUAACCCUGAGCUUGCAGUGGGUACGGGCAGACUAGAGUGCGGUAGGGGAGAUUGGAAUUCCUGGUGUAGCGGUGGAAUGCGCAGAUAUCAGGAGGAACGCCAAUGGCGAAGGCAGAUCUCUGGGCCGUAACUGACGCUGAGGAGCGAAAGCAUGGGGAGCGAACAGG
rnacentral:rRNA from 1 species